rnacentral:rRNA from 1 species
UGCUAAACAGCUAGCCCGUUAAACCAACAACAACAAUUCAAUAUUAAUAACCCCAAACACACUAGAAAUGUAUAAAACAAACCAUUUUUUCCCCCCCCCCAGUAUGGGCGACAGAAAAGGGACUAGGCGCAAUAGAGAAAGUACCGCAAGGGAACGCUGAAAGAGAAAUGAAAAAACCCAGUAUAAGCCUAAAAAAGCAGAGACAAAACCUCGUACCUUUUGCAUCAUGAUUUAGUUAGUAAUAUACAAGCAAAGCGUAACUUUAGUUUGACCCCCCGAAACUAAAUGAGCUACUCCAAGACAGCCUAUUAAUAGGGCACACCCGUCUCUGUGGCAAAAGAGUGGGAAGAGCUUUGAGUAGAGGUGACAGACCUAUCGAAUUUAGUUAUAGCUGGUUGCCUGGGAAAUGGAUAGAAGUUCAGCCUCACGGCUUCUUUUUUGACCCCUAAAGACAUUCAAAGAAACCGUAAGAGUUAUUCAAAAGAGGUACAGCUCUUUUGAAAUAAGACACAACUUUACCAGGUGGGUAAAGAUCAUAAUGAACACAAGGGUAAAAUAUUCUGGUGGGCCUAAAAGCAGCCACCCCCGUAGAAAGCGUUAAAGCUCAAGUAUACCUUUUAUCCCCACGAUUCUGAUAAUUUAAUCUCAACCCCCUAAUCUUACCAAGCCGUCCCAUGCAACCAUGGGAGAGACUAUGCUAAUAUGAGUAAUAAGAGAGCCUCCGCCUCUCUCCUUGCACAUGUGUAAAUCGAAAUGGACCUUCCAUCGAACUUUAACGGCCCCAAACGAAGAGGGUAUUGAACAACAAAUAAAUAACUAGAAAAACACUCAACAAAAACACCGUUAACCCCACACUGGUGUGCUCCCAAGGAAAGACUAAAAGAAAAAGAAGGAACUCGGCAAACACAUAAGGCCUCGCCUGUUUACCAAAAACAUCGCCUCUUGCAAAAUCAAAAAAUAAGAGGUCCCGCCUGCCCUGUGACUACAUGUUUAACGGCCGCGGUAUUCUAACCGUGCGAAGGUAGCGCAAUCACUUGUCUUUUAAAUGGGGACCUGUAUGAAUGGCAUAACGAGGGCUUAACUGUCUCCUUUUUCAAGUCAAUGAAAUUGAUCUUCCCGUGCAGAAGCGGGAAUAAAACCAUAAGACGAGAAGACCCUAUGGAGCUUUAGACACCAAAGCAGAUCAUGUUAAUAACUCCCUAACACGGGCUUAAACCAAAAGAAAUCCUGCUCUAAUGUCUUUGGUUGGGGCGACCGCGGGGAAACAAAAAUCCCCCGCAUGGAAUGGGAGAAACCCAUAUAUACCUCCUAAAAAUAAGAGUUACCACUCUAGUAAACAGAAUUUCUGACCAAUAGUGAUCCGGCAACGCCGAUCAACGGACCUAGUUACCCUAGGGAUAACAGCGCAAUCCCCUUUUAGAGCCCAUAUCGACAAGGGGGUUUACGACCUCGAUGUUGGAUCAGGACAUCCUAAUGGUGUAGCCGCUAUUAAGGGUUCGUUUGUUCAACGAUUAAAGUCCUACGUGAUCUGAGUUCAGACCGGAGUAAUCCAGGUCAGUUUCUAUCUAUGAUGUGAUCUUUUCUAGUACGAAAGGACCGAAAAGAAGAGGCCUAUACUUAAAGCACGCCUCAUCCUUACCUGGUGAAAACAACUAAAACAGGUAAAAGGACAUACCACUGUGCCAAAGAAAAUGGCAU